rnacentral:rRNA from 1 species
ACUCCUACGGGAGGCAGCAGUGGGGAAUAUUGCACAAUGGGCGCAAGCCUGAUGCAGCCAUGCCGCGUGUGUGAAGAAGGCCUUCGGGUUGUAAAGCACUUUCAGUCGUGAGGAAGGUAGUGUAGUUAAUAGCUGCAGUAUUUGUACGUUAGCGACAGAAGGAGCACCGGCUAACUCCGUGCCAGCAGCCGCGGUAAUACGGAGGGUGCGAGCGUUAAUCGGAAUUACUGGGCGUAAAGCGCAUGCAGGUGGUUUGUUAAGUCAGAUGUGAAAGCCCGGGGCUCAACCUCGGAAUAGCAUUUGAAACUGGCAGACUAGAGUACUGUAGAGGGGGUAGAAUUUCAGGUGUAGCGGUGAAAUGCGUAGAGAUCUGAAGGAUACCGGUGGCGAAGGCGGCCCCUGGACAGAUACUGACACUCAGAUGCGAAAGCGUGGGAGCAAACAGGAUUAGAU